UACGUAGGGACCAAGCGUUGUUCGGAUUUACUGGGCGUAAAGGGCGCGUAGGCGGCGCGGUAAGUCACUUGUGAAAUCUCUGAGCUUAACUCAGAACGGCCAAGUGAUACUGCAGUGCUAGAGUGUGGAAGGGGCAAUCGGAAUUCUUGGUGUAGCGGUGAAAUGCGUAGAUAUCAAGAGGAACACCUGAGGUGAAGACGGGUUGCUGGGCCAACACUGACGCUGAUGCGCGAAAG
rnacentral:rRNA from 1 species